CACAAGUUGACUAACUAAAGUUUACCUGCUUUCAGAAAGUAGAUUAUCCAUUGGAGUUGGAUGUUUAUGAUUUUUGUUCAGAUGAUUUACAGAAAGUUAGAAGCUCCUCGCCAGCUUCUUAGGAAUGAAGAAGGAAAAAGCUUGGUCUGAAAGUAGCAGAGAAGAGCUCUACUUCAAAAGACAAUGACGUGAAGAUGUCCGAUGCCGAUGAGGGUUCAUCAAAUUUAGCCAGGAAUCAUCUUUAACUACUUCCCAGGAUGAUGCCCCAGUUGAGGAGAAACAGUUGACUGGAAUCUAUGAUUUGGUUGCUGUAUUGACUCACAAGGCCGGAGUGCUGAUUCAGGACAUUAUGUGGCUUGGGUCAAGCAAGAAAGUGGUAAAUGGAUUGAGUUUGAUGAUGACAAUCCUAUUCCUCAGCAAGA